rnacentral:lncRNA from 1 species
CACCCACCCACCACCAAACCACCCCAACACCCCCCCAACCCACCCCACCCCAACCCACAAAACAACCACCACCCCAACCCCCCCCCCAAACACCCCCCCCCCACCCACACCCCCCCUGUGUUGGUGAUUGUGCCCCACAACCCAACAACCCAACCCCACCUUUUUGGGUGUUUGGAAAAAAAAAAAAAAAAAAAAAAAAUUUGUAAAAAAAAAAAAAAAAAAAAAAAAAAAAAAAAAAAAAAAAGUGGGGGGGAAAACAAAAAAAAAAAAAAAAAAGAAAGAAAAAAAAAAAAAAAAAAAAAAAAAAAAAAAAAAACCCCCCCCCCACCCCCCCAACCCCCCACCCAACCACCCCACCCCCCCCCCAACACCCCCCACCCCCCCCCCCAACACCAACCCACACCACCCCCCCCCCCCCCCCCCCCACCCCCCCCCAACCCCCAACCCCCCAACCCCCCCCCCCCCCCCCCCACCCCCCCCCCCCCCCCCCCACCCCACCCCCCCCCCCCCAACCACCCCCCACCCCCCCACCCCCCCACCCCACCCCCCCCAAACACCACCAACCCCACCCCCCCCACACCACCACCACCACCCCCCCCACCCCCCCCCCACCCCCCCACCACCCACACCCCCCCACCACCCCCCACACCACCACCCCCCCACCCCACCCCCACCCACCCACCACACACAACCCCCCACGACAAAACCACCACCACACACCCACCCACACCCCCCCCCAACACCCCCCCCCCACCCCCCCCCCCCCCAAACCCCCCCCACCACCCACCCCACCCACCCCCCCCCCCCCCCCCCACCCCACCCCCACCCCCAAACCACCCCCCCCCCCCACCCCCACCCCCCACCCCCCCCCAACCCCACCCCCCCCAAAAAAAAAAAAAAAAAAAAAAAAACCCAAAAAAAAAAAAAAAAAAAAAAAAAAAAAAAAACUUGUUGUGUGGGUUGUUGGUGGGGGGGGGGGGAAAAAAAAAAAAAAAAAAAAAAAAAAAAAAAAAAAAAAAAAAAAAAAAAAAAAAAAAAAAAAAAAAACAUCUAGUGGAGCCACCUGUCCUGCUCAGCCUCUACAGAUAA